UACGGGGGGGGCAAGCGUUGUUCGGAAUUACUGGGCGUAAAGGGCUCGUAGGUGGCCAACUAAGUCAGACGUGAAAUCCCUCGGCUUAACCGGGGAACUGCGUCUGAUACUGGAUGGCUUGAGUUCGGGAGAGGGAUGCGGAAUUCCAGGUGUAGCGGUGAAAUGCGUAGAUAUCUGGAGGAACACCGGCGGCGAAGGCGGGUCUCUGGGCCAUAACUGACGCUGAGGAGCGAAAGCGUGGGGAGCGAACAGG
rnacentral:rRNA from 1 species